rnacentral:rRNA from 1 species
UGGGGAAUUUUGGACAAUGGGCGAAAGCCUGAUCCAGCAAUGCCGCGUGUGUGAAGAAGGCCUUCGGGUUGUAAAGCACUUUUGUCCGGAAAGAAAUGGCUCUGGUUAAUACCUGGGGUCGAUGACGGUACCGGAAGAAUAAGGACCGGCUAACUACGUGCCAGCAGCCGCGGUAAUACGUAGGGUCCAAGCGUUAAUCGGAAUUACUGGGCGUAAAGCGUGCGCAGGCGGUUGUGCAAGACCGAUGUGAAAUCCCCGAGCUUAACUUGGGAAUUGCAUUGGUGACUGCACGGCUAGAGUGUGUCAGAGGGGGGUAGAAUUCCACGUGUAGCAGUGAAAUGCGUAGAGAUGUGGAGGAAUACCGAUGGCGAAGGCAGCCCCCUGGGAUAACACUGACGCUCAUGCACGAAAGCGUGGGGAGCAAACAGGAUUAGAUACCCUGGUAGUCCACGCCCUAAACGAUGUCAACUAGUUGUUGGGGAUUCAUUUCCUU